CUGCCUGCCUUGGUUUCUAGCAGGGCUGCUCACUGAACUGGGCUGCCUGCCAGGGGCCAGCAGUAAAAAGCCAGUCAGGUAAGGAAGUGACUAACGAGGCCUGAGGGGAUGAGAGACGGAGGAGAAACAGCAACAAUGAAAACACCUCUGAGAAAGACAGGAUCGGAGACUCUGGGGAAAGAAAGAAAACACAGUGAAAGUAAAGACCUUGCCAAGGGCCAGCCCAUCAUGCGGGCAGAGAAGAAAAGAAAGGGACAAAAGAAAGGGACGAUGUGGAAGUGUGAGCUGAAAAGCACAGGUUCAGAAAUAAGUUGCUUUUAGUAUCCAUUUCAGGAGCAGAGCAAGGGACAGCGAGGCCAACUAGCGAUAGAUUUCCCAUCAAGAGACAGAGAAGGGCAG
rnacentral:lncRNA from 1 species